rnacentral:lncRNA from 1 species
CAACAAGUUACUGUAAUUUUUCACAGUAAAUUACAUUAGUAUCCCUUCACAGUAUUUAACUGAAAAAUUCACAGUAAUAUGUUGUAUUCAUAAUUUUAUUGUGAAAUUACGGCAGGUAGCAUGAUUACAGCAAAUUACUGUGAAAAGGGCUAUAUCUUUUGCACGUUAGUUAUAGAAAUUCAAACCUUUUUUAAACUCAACGUAGAAAUUAAUACAAAUGAACUUUUAACAGAUAAUAACAGAAUGUUAUAGCCCCCAAAACGAUUUGGUUACCAACAUCUUUUUGAUUGUACUGCACCUUUAUUUAAUUUUAUACAGUUAGAAUAGGAAAUAAUAUUUAAUGAACAUAACUGUGUGCUUAGCCAAAACAUAAUAAACUGGAAUAAAAAGUAAUUAAUUAAUGAAACCAAAGACUGUUAAACAGCCAACAAUUAUUUCAAUGUCAGGGUAAAUGUCUGCUUUAGACGGUUUCAUGAGUAUUGGGCACCUGUCAUCGCCUGGAGGUCACUAAUCUCAGUAUUAAAUAUAUAUAUAUAAAUUAUUAUUUUUUUAUCUAUAUAAAUAAACCACAGAUUAGAGUUUUAAACAACUACAUUCUAGCAUGAAAAACAGUUAAAACUUCAUUUUCGGACGCAUAUAGAGCCAUCGAAGACGGGGCAAUUGUCCCAAUGUCUAGCCUGAAGACAGGCGCCUCUCGGCGGAUACAUGAGUAAUGAGCGCCGUUACCGAGAAGGGUAUUCUUGCACAACUGGAGUGGCUGCACUCUCAGGACCGCAUUUUUAGGACCGCAUCUUUAGGACCCUAGUUUUUUGUGACAGCGUCACCUGUCGGAUUGGAUCAUGGAUGCGCUAAUGGACGACACGGAUGACAAGGAAAGUGCCAUCGUACAUCCUCUGGGUGUCUUGAGGAGCUGGUCUUUGGAUAAUGCUGAGCAGGUCUUUCUUUCUGGUAAAGAUUGUUAUUACAGUGAAGUAAAAGAAUUUAACAGACAGAUUUACAAACAACUGACGAAAGAAGGGAGACCAUUCAAUAGUCCCUUUAUUUAUCAGGGGUUGCCACAGCAGAAGGAACUGCCAACUUAUCCAGCAUAUGUUUUACACAGCGGAUGCCCUUCCAGCUGCAACCCAGUACUGGGAAACACCCAUUUACACUCAUACACUUGA